rnacentral:lncRNA from 1 species
UUUUUUGUUUGUUUGUUUGUUUGUUUUGUUUUUUUGUUUUUUGUUUUUUUGUUUUUUUGAGUUUAGAGUUCCAGUUUGAGAUGAAAAGCUCUGAGAAUUGAGUUGAUUAUCUAACAAACAUGUGUAUUUCAUGGAAAAUUUUCUGUCCCUUCAGUUUCAUGCUGUCAGUUCUUAGAGUCCAAGCAUUUCUCUUGUACGCAGGACGGAGUUGGAUCUUGUUUGCAAUCCAUUCAACUGUUCCAUGCAAUCUGGAGCACUCAGGCCUCAUACAGCCAAAAAAAAAAAAAAAAAAAAAAAGAAUGAAUUUGGUUUAACAAAAGGCAGUAAACUGACUUAAAACAUCAUAGGAUGUUUUUGAUAAAAACCUUGCCAAUGACAACACCCUGCUGCAUGUCGAAAGGAUGGACAUGCUUGAUUGUGGAAAGGCACUAAAGUUGCUAUUGUCGUUUCAUUAUUUGAAGACUGCAGUUUCAGGGCCUUUUCCUUUGUGAUUUGAUGAGUUUCACAAUCUGUUCUGCAUUCAUUCUUUUCAGGUUAUAUUUUGUGUACCCAGGUGCCACGGAAAAUGCCAUUCAGCUCGCCCACCUAGCACCUAGAGCUCCAAUGGUUUGUCAGAUCCUGAUAACAACGUAACUUUCAAACAUGUAUGUCCUACUUACACCGUUUCGUCUGUUCCUGCUGUGACAGAAAUAUCUAAACUAAGCAAUUUAAGGGAGGAAAGACUUACUUUGGCUCAUGGCUUUCAGACAUCUUUGUCUGUGGUUGGAUGGUGCCAUGGCUUUGGUGCUGAAGCACGGCAGACUCUCAGGGCAUUCAGGUUAGGAAUCUGAUUUCCACACAGCAGUCAGAAAGGAGAUUAGAACAGGAAAAGCCAGAAACAUUCUAUGUAUCCAACAGGAAGUCCGUAUCUGACUCCCAGCUGGGCCAGGAUGAGGCUGAGAGUUUGCCAUGCUUAAUGACAGCAUGGCUCCCCUAAGCUAAGUUAGGGCCACUGUUGACACAUUCAUUUUGAUAUUGUCCUUCAUAAAGCAGAGAAGAAGGGAAUGAAUAGUUAAACACACAGGUGCUGCCUGCUUUGUAGACAGUGGCGUCGCCGUGCAGCCAUCGCUCAGUUCAGCAAGGUGUUUCAUCAGGUGACGCACCUGGGACCAGAACAUAACUGGAGUUCCACUGCAUAAUAAAUGGAAGCAAAAGUUGUAAUUUGGAACUUGGACAGUCUCGCAGUGUGUAUAUUAAAACAUUUUGUCAUCUCCAAAGCACGGUAGACAUUGGAACUAGAAUUCUCCUGUUUGAUUUAUUAAAUUACUCAAUCAAUUCAACUGUGACCUCUGAAUCUCAGACUUUUUUUUUUCUUCUUCUUCUUCUUGUUAAAACACGGCAUUGAUUUCUACCUCACAGGCCACCCCGAGGACUUAGCAGCCUCAGUAAUUGAGAUAAUGGAAGGCUCAUGUUCUGAAGGCUUGGUCCCCCAUGUGGGGCAGCAUUGGGAGGUCUUGGAGUCUCUAAGAGGCAGACUAGGAGAUGGAAGUGCAUCAGCAGAAGGGUGCCUAGGAAGGGGACUUAAGACCACAGUUCCUCUGUUUAUUCUUAGUCUCUGGACCACCCUCAGGAGCACAGCCUCUUUAGUGACCCCCAUCACAGUGCCAUCUCUCACAAUGAAACCAAAGGUGAUCAAGGACUGAAACCCCAGAAACCUAGAGCUUGAGGUACACCUUUCUUCUUUUUAUGCUAAUUCGUUUCAGGUGUCCUGCUGAUUGUGGGUGGGGCUGUGGCAUCAACAGUCCACCCUUGUCUCACCUGCUAAUGGAGCAUACCUGGAGACCAAGACACUGUUUCCUGCUCCCACAAAGAUUCGUAUGAGUUUUCUCUAGUUAAUUAGUAUUUUUGCUUGUUAACGCCUCCCAGCUCAUUAGGAUGUCUGUGAUGUGACCUGGCAAAUGAACGGAAUUUUAGAUGAAAGCUCAUGAAUCAGAUGAAGCAAACUCAGAAAUUUUGGAGGUGAAUGCUGCCUGCUUCUCUGCAGGGAUGAUUCCCUCCUGGAUGCAGUAAGAGCUCUAUUAGCCUUCCCCUCUGUGAGUGCAUUUUAUCACCCAAACCGGUAUGGAUGCUUCUGAAAACAGAAACCAUGUCUGGGUAUUUACAUCUGGGCCUUAGGUAUAAUCUGGAAUCAUCCAGGCAAAUGAGGAAAGCAGAGCUUCUGACUCAUGUUGGCUUCUUUUGGGAUCUGCUUCAACUGAAGGUGGAGAAUUUCACAAAGAAGAACUCUCUCUGUUUACGACAAACUAAUAUUGUAGCUGCAUUCUAAUGCCGGGUGGAUGUUUUCCAGAAGGUGGUUGUUGUCAGAAGAGUUGGGGAUCCCACGGAAUCAAGAGUAUGGCUACUUGAUUGUACAUAAUUAAGCAGUGGUAACAGGACCCAUAGAUAAAUUGAUUUAUCAUGGGAUAUGAGGAGAAUUCCCUGUUCCCAAUCCUAGUACUCUAGUAUCCACAGAGCUUUAUUUUCUGUUUACUGUGUAUCCACUGGAGCAUUUGUACAUGAACUAUAAAGCUCCGUGACUCAAACAAUAUGCAUAGACCCUUUGCAGAUUUUCAAUAACACACCCAUCAUUUAUUCAAGUGUGCUAUGUAGAUUAGCAUUUCUUUGUGAGAGGUAUGGCGGGAUGUUAGAACACAGGCUGUUACCAGUGACUGGGUUUGGAAUGUUGCUCUGUAUGCUUGUCUACUUUGCGAUUUUGUGACCACCGAUACUAUAGGAAUAUGGACUAACUGGGAAGACUAUAGCUCACAACAAUGCAUUGUACAAUCCAAAUUGCUGGAAGAUAGAAUUCUGGAAAAUUUCACAACAAAGAAAUGAUCAGUGCUUAAGAUAAGGACAUACUCAUUAUCUUGCUUUGACUUUUGUUACAAUGCAUACAUAUGUAAAAACAUUGCAUUUAACACCAUAAAUGUGUUCAUUUAUUAGUUGGCGGUAAAACAAAACUAUGAGGAUAAUAGUAGCUCCUAGUUGCUAUGUUGGGGCACUGAAUGGCUGCUUGAUAAAUGCUAACCGCAACGGCACAUGCUAGAAACUAUGUAAAUAUUUAUGUUAAAAUGCAGAGAAAGCGUCUCCCUGUGAUCAGGUACCAGUUCCAUUACGUGUGAAGUGCUCACAAACACACAUUUGUUAAUAAAGAAAAGGGCUAAAGAGAAGUAAGGUCUAGAGAUGGCCACAGGAUUUUCAGUAGAGGAACAGUUGGAAACCCAUCCACAGAAGGCUGUGAGGUGAGGCCUCUGUUAUAAGGGCUGCUUUUGGGGUAUAACGUACUCUAGAGACAUUUGUAAGAUUCCCUUCAUUUUAUUAUUUGGAGCCAUCGGAUUUUGCAGGGAUUCUCCUGCAAUCACUUUCCAUGUCGUUAGUAUUGCCACCAUAAUCACCAAUAUUUUAAUCAUUGCCAUAAACUAUAUAUUUCAUUAGAUGGUUUUUUGCAAUUCCCUAUGUGUGUAAGAAGCAGUGGGUUCAGUUUCUAGGCCUAGAGGUUUUGAAAUGAUAGGUUUUAUUUGUUUUCUUUUUCUUCUUAUGGAAGCCUGAUGAGACUGUGGGGGAUUUAGUGUGUCUGUUGUUGAGUUCUCUGAAUGAAGCAGGAAAAUAGAAACAUUUGUGGCCCUGACAGAACAACAUCCAGUAAUGACUGUGUCUAAAUUCUGGAUAGAAUGGCCUCCGAAUCACUGUCACAGAGCGGUAUGAGCAAGGUCAUCUUGUUAUCUGGUUCCCAGGUCUCCUGACAGAUGUCAGGGAGAGAAAAGAAAACAUCAAGAAACUUAUAGGAAAACAGAGGAUGCAGAAUAAAGGGCCAUGGGGGACUAGAAUUAGGAAGGAUUGUAUUGAGACUUUGGCUGUGGCGCUUAUUUCAUGAGCCUCAGUAAUUUGUGAGUCAAUUCCAAAUCUAUCUCAUCUCACACAG